rnacentral:rRNA from 1 species
AGCAAGACUACUCCCUGAAUUUAAGCAUAUUAUUAAGGGAAGGAAAAGAAAAUAACUAUGAUACCCGCAGUAAUGGCGAAUGAAGUGGGUAAAGCUCAAGCUUAAAAUCUAGUCUCUUUUGAGAUUCGAAUUGUAGUGUAAAUUAACAUUAAUAUGGUCAUGAUAAUUGCCUAAGUGUGAACAUCUGAAUUUCCUAUCAAAGACGGUGAUAAUCCGGUAUGGUAGUUUGAUUGGCUAAAUAUUCUUGUUAUUUAAAGAGUCGAGUUGUUUGGGAUUGCAACUCUAAUAAAGGUGAUAGAUUUCAUCUAAAAGCUAAAAUAUAUUAGGAAAACCGAUAGCAAAGAAGUACUGUGAAGGAAAGGUGAAAAGAACUUUGAAAAGAGAGUUAAAAGUAGCUUGAAAUUGUU